AGUGAACGCUGGCGGUAGGCCUAACACAUGCAAGUCGAACGGCAGCACAGUAAGAGCUUGCUCUUACGGGUGGCGAGUGGCGGACGGGUGAGGAAUACAUCGGAAUCUACUUUUUCGUGGGGGAUAACGUAGGGACACUUACGCUAAUACCGCAUACGACCUACGGGUGAAAGCAGGGGAUCUUCGGACUUUGCGCGAUUGAAUGAGCCGAUGUCGGAUUAGCUAGUUGGCGGGGUAAAGGCCCACCAAGGCGACGAUCCGUAGCUGGUCUGAGAGGAUGAUCAGCCACACUGGAACUGAGACACGGUCCAGACUCCUACGGGAGGCAGCAGUGGGGAAUAUUGGACAAUGGGCGCAAGCCUGAUCCAGCCAUACCGCGUGGGUGAAGAAGGCCUUCGGGUUGUAAAGCCCUUUUGUUGGGAAAGAAAAGCAGCAGGUUAAUACCCCGCUGUUCUGACGGUACCCAAAGAAUAAGCACCGGCUAACUUCGUG
rnacentral:rRNA from 1 species